rnacentral:misc_RNA from 1 species
UCUCCGUAGGUGAACCUGCGGAGGGAUCAUUACAGAGUUCUCGCCCUCGAGGGCAGUCUUCCCAGCCACUGUUUUCGUUACUGUCGUUUCUUUGGCGGGCCCCCCGGUCCCCGGUCGCCGGCGCCUAAUAGGCGGCGCGCGCCCUCCGGAGGCCUUCGAACUCUGAAUGAUAGUGUCGUCUGAGUACUAUCUAAUAGUUAAAACUUUCAACAACGGAUCUCUUGGUUCUG